rnacentral:rRNA from 1 species
AUGGACGUGGAGCGCGCCACCGCCACAGCAGCGGUGUAUCCACUGCCGCACUCAUUUUUCGGCCCGAGGCGGCCGGAGCCCGCGGCCGUAGGUGCGCCAACACGCACCCUUUUCGAGUGGCCGCCGCGGUGGCAGAGGCCGGCCCGGCGUGUGCCGUUCAGUUGGCGGACGUACGAUCAUGAUCCGCCGGUCGUCGCUGCAGCGGCGCCGCCCUACAGGAACAGCGGCUUUAGCGCCGUCCCGGCGUCGGAGAAGGCCAUCGCUGGCCUACCCUACAGGGAGAAGGGCUGCUCCGUGUGCAUGGAGGCCUUCGAGGAGGGGGAGAUGCUCAGGGGAUUGGAAUGCUCCCACGCGUUCCACGAGGACUGCAUCUCCGUGUGGCUCAGCGUCAGCCACCUCUGCCCGCUCUGCCGCUUCGCGCUGCGUACCCAACGCCAAGAGGGUGAGGAGGAACGUACGGGCCGCGAGUAG